CGUGUCAGGAGUGCAUUUGCA
rnacentral:miRNA from 2 species